rnacentral:rRNA from 1 species
AGCAGCCGCGGUAAUUCCAGCUCCAAUAGCGUAUAUUAAAGUUGUUGCAGUUAAAAAGCUCGUAGUUGAAUUUCGGGGUCAGUAGGUUGGUCAUGCCACUGGUAUGUACUGGUCUCACUGAUUCCUCCUUCCUGAUGAGCCGUAAUGCCAUUAAUUUGGUGUUGCGAGGAAUCUGGACUGUUACUUUGAAAAAAUUAGAGUGUUUAAAGCAGGCUAACGCUUGAAUACAUUAGCAUGGAAUAAUGAAAUAGGACGUUCGAUCUUAUUUUGUUGGUUUCUAAGAUUGACGUAAUGAUUAAUAGGGAUAGUUGGGGGCAUUAGUAUUCAAUUGUCAGAGGUGAAAUUCUUGGAUUUAUUGAAGACUAACUACUGCGAAAGCAUUUGCCAAGGAUGUUUUCAUUAAUCAAGAACGAAAGUUAGGGGAUCGAAGACGAUCAGAUACCGUCGUAGUCUUAACCAUAAACUAUGCCGACUAGGGAUCGGAUGAUGUUAAUUUUUUAGUGACUC